GCUGUGGCUUAGUGUUAGAGCACUUGCCUAGCAUGUGUGAGACACUGGGUUCAAUUCUCAGCACUGCA
rnacentral:tRNA from 1 species